GAACGCUAGCGACAGGCUUAACACAUGCAAGUCGAGGGGCAGCGGGGGUAGCAAUACCCGCCGGCGACCGGCGCACGGGUGAGUAACGCGUAUGCAACUUGCCUAUCAGAGGGGGAUAACCCGGCGAAAGUCGGACUAAUACCGCAUGAAGCAGGGGCCCCGCAUGGGGAUAUUUGCUAAAGAUUCAUCGCUGAUAGAUAGGCAUGCGUUCCAUUAGGCAGUUGGCGGGGUAACGGCCCACCAAACCGACGAUGGAUAGGGGUUCUGAGAGGAAGGUCCCCCACAUUGGUACUGAGACACGGACCAAACUCCUACGGGAGGCAGCAGUGAGGAAUAUUGGUCAAUGGGCGCGAGCCUGAACCAGCCAAGUCGCGUGAGGGAUGAAGGUUCUAUGGAUCGUAAACCUCUUUUAUAAGGGAAUAAAGUGCGGGACGUGUCCCGUUUUGUAUGUACCUUAUGAAUAAGGAUCGGCUAACUCCGUGCCAGCAGCCGCGGUAAUACGGAGGAUCCGAGCGUUACCCGGAUUUAUUGGGUUUAAAGGGUGCGUAGGCGGCCUUUUAAGUCAGCGGUGAAAGUCUGUGGCUCAACCAUAGAAUUGCCGUUGAAACUGGGGGGCUUGAGUAUGUUUGAGGCAGGCGGAAUGCGUGGUGUAGCGGUGAAAUGCUUAGAUAUCACGCAGAACCCCGAUUGCGAAGGCAGCCUGCCAAGCCAUGACUGACGCUGAUGCACGAAAGCGUGGGGAUCAAACAGGAUUAGAUACCCUGGUAGUCCACGCAGUAAACGAUGAUCACUAGCUGUUUGCGAUACAGUGUAAGCGGCACAGCGAAAGCGUUAAGUGAUCCACCUGGGGAGUACGCCGGCAACGGUGAAACUCAAAGGAAUUGACGGGGGCCCGCACAAGCGGAGGAACAUGUGGUUUAAUUCGAUGAUACGCGAGGAACCUUACCCGGGUUUGAACGCAUUCGGACCGAGGUGGAAACACCUUUUCUAGCAAUAGCCGUUUGCGAGGUGCUGCAUGGUUGUCGUCAGCUCGUGCCGUGAGGUGUCGGCUUAAGUGCCAUAACGAGCGCAACCCUUGCCACUAGUUACUAACAGGUUAGGCUGAGGACUCUGGUGGGACUGCCAGCGUAAGCUGCGAGGAAGGCGGGGAUGACGUCAAAUCAGCACGGCCCUUACAUCCGGGGCGACACACGUGUUACAAUGGCGUGGACAAAGGGAUGCCACCUGGCGACAGGGAGCGAAUCCCCAAACCACGUCUCAGUUCGGAUCGGAGUCUGCAACCCGACUCCGUGAAGCUGGAUUCGCUAGUAAUCGCGCAUCAGCCAUGGCGCGGUGAAUACGUUCCCGGGCCUUGUACACACCGCCCGUCAAGCCAUGGGAGCCGGGGGUACCUGAAGUCCGUAACCGCGAGGAUCGGCCUAGGGUAAAACUGGUGACUGGG
rnacentral:rRNA from 1 species